CUAAAAGUGGAGCUGCUCAGAGGAUGGGGAGCAGAGAGAGGAAUCCUGGGGACAUUGGCUAAGCCCUAAUUUAAGUUGUGCCUGAAGCUCCCCUGGAUCUUUCAACUUUUCAGCAUCUAUCAGCCAAUACAUUCUUUUCUUUUAUGAGAAUUUGGGCUGAAUUUUCUGUCACAACCAAAAGAAGUGUUUUCCUUAAUGAACACACACACACACACACGUACACACAGACACAUAUGGACACACAUACACACGUACACAUAGACACAUGCACAUACAUACGUACAGACACACACAUAUGCAUACACACACAUAUACACAAACGUACACACAUAUACACACACACACAGAUGUCCCUGAUUUUUCUUUAUUUUUAUUGCUUCUGAUUUAAGUAUGCUUCAUUUAAUAGACAGGGCAUUUUGUUUUCUUUUUUUACACCAGCACUGAACAAUCAAACUUUCUUCAGGGAUGGAAAUGUUUUACAUCUGCACUGUCCAGUGAAGUCCCUGGACUGGGUAAAAGUGCCUAGAAAGAGAACGUUGACAAAGAAAAGAAGAGGCCAAGGAUGGGGGUCUGAUGAAGGAGGAAGAGCUAGCAGAUGAGAAAUGGCCAGUAGAGUUGAAGGAGUCCAGAUAAAUGCGUAGCACAGAAGCCUAGAGAAGAACAUGUCUCAAGAAGGGGGAACCGACCAUUCCUACUGUGUGCAGCUGAGAAAUCAAAGAAGAUGUGGGUAGAGAACUGCUGUUACUGAUAAAUGCCCAUUCAGUGGUGUGGCAGAGAUGAAAGCCCAUUGGAGUGGGCUGAGGAUGAGAAUGAAUGAUGAGGAAACGUAGACCUUGGGGUUGGAUGACUCCCUCCAGAAAUUUUUCAGUAAAAGGAAACAGGGAACUGCGCAAUAGUUAGAGGGAGCAUGGGAUCACUUUUUUUGAGAGAGAUGAUACUAAGUAAUUUUUAUAAUAUAUGCUAGUAGGAAAGAUCCAGUAGUGAAGGAGAAGUCAGUGGUGCACAAGAGGAAGGAGACAGCUUCAGGAUUGACACCCUUGAGAAGGUGAGAAGGGCUGGAUUCACAACAUACACAUGCUUCUCCGCAAACAGGACCCUUUGUGUCUAAUACAGCACUGACUCAGUAAAUAAACUGAAACUUGAAAAGGUAGAAACAGAAAGCCAGUGUUCUUUCCCACCACCAUGCCACAGAACUACCUUUCUCAACUUGUACUUUCCUGCUCCUGGACAAAAGCUCCAGAACAUCUCAUGGCUUUUUCAAUUACUCUCAGAUAACAACAACAACAAAAAAAUCCAUUAGUCAUGUUUAGCACCCUGUGUAUUAUCAACACUCCAAAAUUUAAUUUUAAGUUUCUCCUCUCCUCUAGCUCUGGCCUUUGCCACACCAGGAAAUCACCAGUGAGGGAAGGGUAGGAGAAGUUGCUUCUCCUUUCCUGCUUGCUUCACCUCAUCCACAGUCAGUCUGACCUGCUGGUUUGUUUUUGUUUUGUUUUGUUUUGCUUUUUUGGCAGUUCCAUGGCUGGAAUCCAGUAGCAUUUUUAUAGAUUCUUCAAAGACAUCCAAUAGAUAAGAAUCUCCCAAAGAGAUCAGCUGGACCCCUGCCCCAUGGUUUCCGACAGUUCAUCUCCAUCUGUUGAGGUCACCUUCUCUCAAGGUCCUCUCGGUGUCUACUACAAAAUGAUCCAAUCUAGUCCCUUCCAUGGGGUUCUCAUCUGACUGAGGGGAAACACCUUUGCCCCACCAAACCCUGGAAGUACAACUUAUGACCAAUGAAACUCUCUAUUCCAUGGCUCCAGAGCAGCAAACUAGAGACAGUCUCCCCUCUUCAAACUUCUCAUGUUUUCCUUCAUACUCCGGGGGACACGUGUCAACUUCUCUGAGAGUUUAUCUUCCAGCUCUCCUUAGUUGGUUUGAAAUGGCAGGUGUAUUCCCUCCCCUCCCUCCCCAAUGCCCCCACACACUGACAACUCUCUCCAAAGAUGCUCUCCACCCUGGCAUCUCUGAUCCUCUCUAUUAUGUCACCUGGACCUGGCCAAUGGACUAAUGCCAGCAACACAGAUGUCACUGUCUCUAAGCAUAUCCUGCCUAGAUGGUUCAAUACCUCCCUUUGGAAUACUGGAAUAUUUGGUUCUCAAACUUGGGGUACCUGCCAAAACUCUGAGAGCAAAUGAAUCUCAUUUUAAUAUUCUACAGAAAUCCAUAAAAAGAGGGUGAGUGCAUAAACAGUCAGUGUCACUGCUGUGGCCAGAGUUUGCCUGAUAUUGCAUUUGACUUUCAUAAAUUAUUCCUUCCAGCAUCCUUCUUCCUAACCAUUUAUCUUUCUUAUACUCUACAGCAGAAGUAGGAAGGGGCAGGGAGACCACAUGCCAUUACAAAGGUUGUUAACUGCACAAGGCACCUGGCUGAGGAGGUGAAUGGUAAAUAAAAUAUAAAGUACUGUUUGUUUUAGGUCCCCAGCUUGGGGCUGCACAGUCCUUGAGGGUAACCUGUUUUAUUUCAUUCUCAAAAAGGUGUCUCAUGGCUUAGCAGAGGCCCUGGAAAGAAGCUACAGAAACACAGGAGGAAUCACUCGUCCAAACAGAAUGAUAAUGGCUCUGUGGUAGAAGAGAGAGCACUAUAAUAGUAGUAUGAGAUUUAUCUUUGCCCAAAAGGAUGAUGUGACCUAAUACAGAAAAUCCAGGAGGCACACUGAUUGGGGCUGGCAAGAAGGGAUAAGCAAAGAUAGACUCCAACCAGGAAGAAUGAGCAGAAUUUGAACUGGAUUAAAAAGAUUCCAGACCCUGCCCAUGGGGUUAGCGAUGCGAUCUGAGUACACCUCCCACCCCUUUCCUUGCCUGGAACAUUUGACCCUCUGAAGUCAUCCAAAAGAUCUGGAUCAGGGGUGGCUAAGAAACUACGUAUGUCUAUGAAUGAUGGAGGUAAUGGCUGUUUGCAUCUCCCUUAGGUUAAUACUCAGAAAUAAAUAUAAAUUCUAGGAAGGAAGCUUCUGAUUGUGUAGUUAUGGUAAAUUACUUUGGUUUAAACUACCAACUGUACCUGGACUGGUGAGAGAGUGAGUGAGAGUGAGCAAGUAAGGCAAAAGAGAGAGAGACUGAUUAUGGUUAUUAAGUUUCUCGAAAACCCUUAGCUACAUGUUGGCUUCUUCUUGAUAUAACACAAAACAAACUACUCUCCUAAGUAAACCAAGAAUAUUAAAAACUUCUUUUUUUUUUUUUUUUUUUUUGAGUCAGGGUCUCACUCUUUUGCCCAGGCUGGAAUGCAAUGACGUAAUCACAGCUCAUUGCAUCCUUGACUUCCCAGGCUCAAGUGAUCUUUCCACCUCAGCCUCCCAAGUAGCUGGGACUACAGGCACAAGCCAUCAUGCCCAGCUAAUUUUUAUUUUUUUAAAUCUUUUUGUAGAGAUGGUGUCCCAUUGUGUUGUCCAGGCUGGUCUUGAACUCCUGGCCUCACGCGAUCCUCCCACCUCAGCCUUCCGAAGUACUAUUACAGGUGUGAGCCACUGCGCCUGGUCAAAAAAUUCUAAUCCUUAAGAGAGUAACACAAAGCCCUAAGGUAAAUUACCUUGUUUAUUAUAGAAUAAAGGUAGACUUAAAGGCAGGUACUUUCUUCUCCUAGCUCGCAUUGCAUUUAGUAUUCAGUAUAACCUGCUAUUUAUAAAGUUAUCCAAAGGCAUCUUGGCAUGAACCAAACCACACAGACAAGAUAACAUCACUUCCCUGGGAAUUGCUAAGCUUCCUUUGGUCUCUCCCCUGUCAGCAGAGGCAGAGAGGUGCUGCCUCAAUCCUAGCAUACUGGAGACAUGAUUUUUCCACUGCAAGUUGCAUCCUAUUCCAUAGCCACAUGGGAUCCUGACAACUGAGGACUAAAGUAGACAGUGAGCCUCUGAGCAAAUUCACUGUUGAUGGGCUUGUCACUAAAAAUUCACUUCAGUUGUACAGAACCAAACCAAGUAUUACAGGAGAAGGGAUUUGCCUCGCAACCAGAAAAUAGACGUUACUCUCCAUACUAGCCUUAGAGAUUCUCAGCACUGCAGGACAAUAAACAUGAGCAGGUUGGACUCCUUGCCUGAUGUGAGAAUUCCUCUGCAGCAUCCUUGUCAAAUUCUCAUCUAUUGGUAGAAGUAGAAUUGCUGGGUAGAAGAAAAGCACAUUAUUACCUUUAUCGGCACUAAGAAAUCACACUCCGAAAAGGUUAUAACAAGUUAUACUCCCUUCAAUUAGGUUUUACGUUGUCUCCUAUUCUCACUAAUACCAGACAUUCAACAUUAUGAGAUUAUUUAGUUUUGUCAAAUCUGAUUUACCAAAUAGUAUAUCUGCAUAUAUGCAUACCUAUAUCAUAUAGAGUGGGUAUUUUAAUUUUUUUUUUUUUUUUGAGAUGGAGUCUUACUCUGUUGCACAGGCUGGAGUGCCACUGUGCCAUCUCAGCUCACUGCAACCUCGGCCUCCUGAGUUCAAGUGAUUCUCCUGCCUCAGCCUCCCAAGAAGCUGGGAUUACACACACACCACCACCAUACCCAGGUAAUUUUCGUAUUUUUGUAGAUACGGGUUUCACCACAUUGACCAGGCUGGUCUCAAACUCCUGACCUCAAGUAAUCUGCCGGCCUUGGGCUCCCAAAGUGCUGGGAUUACAGGCAUGAGCCACCACACUCGGCCUAAUUUGUAUUAUUGAUAUUAGCAGGUUUAUUGCUAAUUAGUGUUUCUUCUUUGAGUUUUUCUUUUUCCUUAUUUUUUUCUGUAUAAGCCUUUGAUCUGCUAUGUAUGUUGCAAAUUUUUCCCCAUCUUUCUCACUUGUUCUUUAACUUUGUUCAGAGUAUAUUCUGUCAUGUAAAUAUUUUAAAUUUUCAUGUGGUCAAAUAUGUUGGUCUUUUAGGAUUUCUAGGUUUUACACUGUGCUUAGAAAGGCCUUUCCUAUCUCAUGAUGAUAAAAAUACUCAUUCUUCUGGAGUUUUGUUGUCAUCUUUUUGCAAAUCAUUUAUUCAUCUAGAUAGAGCCUGAAUAUAAAGAUCUAACUUUUUUCUUUCCAAAUAGUUUAAAAGACCUCUUAUACCUCCAUUCUCCAAUCUGAAUAGCUGAAUGAAUGAGAGAGUGAAAAAUAGUACUGGCAAUUAGUUGAAUGGGCUCUUACUGUUUUUCACCACCGCCUCAGAUCCAGGACAAAGGGAAGGGACUGAAUUCCCAUUCUGCAGAGGUUACACCUCCCUCCUUAUUUUGUCAUAUCUUCCCUGAGUCUAUAUAAUAAUUAGUUAGCAAAAUAACAUAAUUGGAAAAAAAGCUUCUCUGAGAUGUGUAGAUACUUUCUCAAAUGUGCACUGACUAAGGUCUUAUCAUAAUUUUCUUAAGGAACAACUCUCUUUCCAUCCUAAAUGCCAGACCAAUGAUAUGAUCUUUGGCAAUGUACUCUGGAAGAAAUAAAGUAGCAUCUCAUUCAUUCCUUGCUGUCUUCAGAUGACAGUCUAUGGAGUAUGGGUGUAUUUGUAGGGGUGAAAGUGACAAAAAAGAAGGCAAGCCAUAUGAAGAUUAUAUCUGCUUAAAAUUGACACGUUUAAAUUUCUGCAAAGAUUCCAGACACUGUUUUAAGACAGCUGAAAAACCACUAAACUAUUCUGCCCACAUGCCCCAAAUAUUCUAUCUCACCAUAACCCUCUUGGAUUUACACAUACCAAAAUGCUCAAGGGCCAUUUCCUGAAUUUCUGCCAAAUGUUCCGAUAACACUUCAGCUUAGAUUAAUUCAAAUUCCAAGGAAAACACCAAAGUGAUUUAUGACAAGGAAAAAGAGAUAUUUAAACUAAAAACAUAAUCAACAGUAAUUUACAAACUGAAGAUAAUUUUAUGUCACUACUCAAUUUUGGAAAAGCAACUCUUGUAGGAAUUUCCCUUCUCUCCCCCAGUGUACAAAUAGCCAGACUUUUCAUGUGGACAUCACUAUUUACAGUAAAUGGAAGACCUUGCAUCUCACUUCUAAAAAUAGGAAAAGAAGACCACCAGAAUCUAGAAGAGCUGCUGUCAGAACUUAUGAUAGGAAGCAAGUGACUCUGAGGUGCAAAGAGUGGACUGCGGUGAACCUGCAGUGUAUCACCCAGGUUUAUCGCCCCCUUCAGGACUCAAGCACUCAUUUCCCCACCUGCAGGGAAUGUUGGUGGCUAACAGCUAUCAGCUCUUGCUCUUCAGGCAUUGCCCUUUGCUGAACAGUUUCUUUGCCCAAGAUCACAUCCCCAUCCCAGGGACAUCUGAUAUCCAAUGAUUAACUGAUGUAGGGCUAUAAGACCAACCUCAAUUCAAAAUAACCUUGAAGGGUUAUUGCAGCUACACAGCCACUGAUGGGAUUAGUGAAGUUUUCUUACAACUGCAUCAGAAUUCUCCUUCUCCCUGUGCCCAGUAAUGCUAUCUACACUUUCCCAAAAGUACCGAUCUCAAAAGGACUCCUCAGUAACGUUCCUGCAUGCAAAUCUCCAUCUCAUAAUCUGUGUCCCAAGGAACCCAACCUGCAAUGCAUGCAUUGUCUCAUUUGAUCCUCUCCACAAGAUCAGAACUGCUAUUAUCCCUAUUUUACAGUGGAAAUUCAAGCCCCAAGAGCUUCAGUAAACUUGCAAACUCCCUGAUUUUAGAGUCUAUGCUCUUAACCAACCUGGAUCAGCAAACUGUAAUCCCUAUGCUAGAAUUAGGCAAAUAUUUCCCUGGAUGAGACGCUCUAGGUGCAGCCAGCUGAGCACUAACUAGUCAGAUGUUUCUUUUCAUCAUGUGUUCCCUGGGACCUACCUGGAAAUUUCAAAGGAAGUGGCCCAUUUUCUAUAUCGCAAUCUUGCCUCCAAGUCAAAUUGUUCAAAGCACCAUGUCUGGAAUGAAGAAGGGCACUGGGAAAAAAGAAAAAUAGCAAGAUGGAGGAAAUACCAAUCAUAUGCAGUAUUUCUUCAGGCCAUCUCAACAUACUUCACAUUUCCUUCACAGGAACAAGAUAAGAUUUCUCAACUGGGUAUUUCUUUUAAACGUCCAAACUUGGCAGUACUUUAAUGGAUAUCUAAGAUAAUUAAAUGAUUAGGGUGACGUAUUAAUAUAGGUCAUCGGACGGGCACGGUGGAUCACGUCUGUAAUCCCAGCAUUUUGGGAGGCCGAGGCGGGUGGAUCACUUAAGGUCAGGGGUUCGAGACCAGCAUGGCCAGCACGGUGAAACUCCAUCUCUACUAAAAAUACAAAAAAAAAAUUAGCCGGGCGUGGUGGGGCACGCCUGCAGUGCCAGCUACCUGGGAGGCCGAGGCAGGAGAAUGGCGUGAACCUGAGAGGCAGAGCUUGCAGUGUGCCGAGAUCGUGCCAUUGCACUCUAGCCUGGGUGACAGAGCAAGACUCCGUUUCAAAAAAAAAAAAAAAAAAAAAAAAAGGAUAUUUUCCAGUUUCCAGUACACCCUGUUCCAGAUAUGCUCACUCAAGUCAAAAUUACCGAGUGUAGUGGACAUUUUAGCCCUACUCUCAAGCAAAAGGCAGAUUUUCAUAGGUCCAUUUCUACCAUUAUUUCACUAGGUCUCCCAAGCUUCCAAAAGGUAGAUCAUGUGCUCGCUUCAGCAUCCCGUAUACUAAAAUUGCAACAAAACAGA
rnacentral:lncRNA from 1 species